CCAAAUUGUUGGAGAACCUUAUCCUGGAAAUAAUCUUCUUGCUUGUGGUUACUUCAUUCAUGGAACCACUAGUUGUAAUUUUGAGUGGGUAUGUCAUAUAGAAAUGGAUCUGUGAAUUACAUUGAUGGUGCAAAGCAGCCACAUUACCUCGUCACUGCUGAUGAUGUUGAUUUGUAUCUUGCUGUUGAAGUUCAGCCUUUGGAUUACAGGAACCGAAAG